rnacentral:rRNA from 1 species
GACGAACGCUGGCGGCGUGCUUAACACAUGCAAGUCGAACGGAAAGGCCUGCUUUCCCUUGUGGAUUGCGGGUACUCGAGUGGCGAACGGGUGAGUAACACGUGAGUUAUCUGCCCCCAACUUUGGUAUAAGCCUGGGAAACUGGGUCUAAUUACCGAUAGGACUGCAGGGUGGUGCCUGUGGUGGAAAACGAUUUUCUAGUGGUUGGGGAUGAGCUCGCGGCCUAUCAGCGUGUUGGUGGGGUAAUGGCCUACCAAGGCGGCGACGGGUAGCCGGCCUGGGAUGGGGGACGGCCGCAUUGAGACUGGGAUCCGGCCCAGACGCCUACGGGAGGCAGCAGUGGGGAAUAUUGCACAAUGGGCGGAAGCCUGAUGCAGCGACGCCGUGUGGGGGAUGACGGCCUUCGGGUGGUAAUCUCCUUUCGACCGCGAGGAAGCCACCUGGUUGGAAGGGUGGUGACGGUAGUGGUAGAAGAAGCACCGGCUAACUACGUG